UUGGGGCGCCUGGGUGGCUCAGUCAGUUAAGCAUCCGACUUCAGCUCAGGUCAUGAUCUCACAGCCAGUGAGUUCGGGUCCCGCACUGAAUUCUGCGCUGACAGCUCAGUGCCUGGAGCCUGCUUCGGAUUCUGUGUCUCCCUCUCUCUCUGCUCCUCCCCCACUCACGCUCCCUCCCUCUCUGUC